UCAUCUUGCGACGCCGUGAGC
rnacentral:misc_RNA from 1 species